UACGUAGGGUCCAAGCGUUGUCCGGAAUUAUUGGGCGUAAAGAGCUCGUAGGCGGUCUGUCGCGUCGGCUGUGAAAACCCGGGGCUCAACCCCGGGCCUGCAGUCGAUACGGGCAGACUAGAGUGCGGUAGGGGAGACUGGAAUUCCUGGUGUAGCGGUGAAAUGCGCAGAUAUCAGGAGGAACACCGGUGGCGAAGGCGGGUCUCUGGGCCGUAACUGACGCUGAGGAGCGAAAGCGUGGGGAGCGAACAGG
rnacentral:rRNA from 1 species